CUUAUAUUUUCCCUUAAAUUUAUUAGGAACCAAACAUAGCCUAAAUAUGUUGUGGGAAUAAUAAUAGUUGUCAAUGUUUGAAAAAUCACUCAAUCCACAAGGAUUGAUGACCAUAACUUUCUUAAUUUAACAAAUACUAAUUAGAUAACUAAUCGUCAAUUUACAAUGUGAGCAUAGAAACAACAAAAAUUAGAAAGUCCACACAUUUAAAAAGAAAACGAGAAAAAGUUAAAAGUUCAAAAUUCACCAACCUUCUAAAUACAUGUUCUUUAAGCCCAAUUUCCUGAGCCUAUAUUGAGGUAGUCACCAACCACUUCGAACUACAUUCGACAUUUGAACAGAUUCCACAAUGAUGAAUUUUUCAAUACUAAUUCACUGAUGCUUAAUUUGAUUGGGGAGAAUCAAAGUAUCGUAUAUGGUUUGUGUUUUAGCUAUUUAUGUCUUGCAUAUAUUCUAUAUUGUUACUAUUGGGUGAAUGAAUAUGGCCUAGAGAUGGUUUAUAUGAUAAUGAGUACUAUUAGUGAUGGCUUGGUCCCAUAUCUAGUGUGAACCCUAUAUCACAUGUUUGUCUUUGAUGUAGAGGGGCUACAUAAUUGAGAGCAGGUCAUCUUGCUCUUUGAUUUACUUCUUCAAAUGUUGUGACUUUUUUACCACAUAUAUAUGUUACUAUUAAUUCUAGGGAUAAGAUAUUAGUUUGUAUAUUGCUCUUUGAUUGGCUUCUUUAAAUGUUGUGGAUAAAGUUUUGGCAAUAUUAUUGUGAAAGCAAAAAUGCAUUUGGUUGGAUGACAUUAUAUUGAUUAUGAAAGAAGUGACAAAACCCCAUAGGUACCCCUUCCUAAAAUUUUUAUUCUUUACUUAUUUUUAAAAAGUUGGAAUGUACUCUACUACGACUUUUUUCUAAUUUCCCUUAAGGGCCUUAAUUAAGGAGCUUUGUGGGGGUUUGUUUGUUUGAUCCUACAAUUCUGUGACAUACGAUGAGAACAUUGUAUUUCCAUGAGGGUGGUUAUGAUAUCCCAUAUCAGAUAAAAGAAUUUUUAUUUAUUUUUACUAUAGACUUCUCUUAACCAUUUAGAUGCAUUUUAAAGUAAUAAGAACUCUUUAAGUCUAGAGUAGACGAUAUCUACAUAAUUGAGGAUAGGUCGUUACACUCAUCACAUUUCUGUUUUUUCAUGACAUAUGUUACUAUUAAUUCUAGGGAUAAGAUAUUAAAUUGCAUCUUGAUCUUUGAUUGAUAUGUUGUGGCUUUUUCAUCACAUAUGUUACUAUUAAUUCUAGGGAUAAGAUAUUGUUCGCAUCUUGCUCUUUGAUUUUACAAUUAAUUCUAGGGAUAAGAUAUUAAAUUGCAUCAUGAUCUUUGAUUGACAUGUUGUGGCUUUUUCAUCACAUAUGUUACUAUUAAUUCUAGGGAUAAGAUAUUGUUCGCAUCUUGCUCUUUGAUUGGCUUUUUCAUCACAUAUGUUACUAAUUGUCAAUCUACAAUGUGAGCAUAGAAACAAUUAAAAUUAGAAAGUCCACACAUUUAAAAGGAAAACAAGAAAAAGUUAAAAGUUCAAAAUUCACCAACCUUCUAAAUCGGUGUUCUUUAAGUCCAAUUUCCCGAGCCUAUAUUGGGGUAGUC
rnacentral:lncRNA from 1 species